CACGACGAUCUUCCGAUCUAUCUACAGUACUCUGAACUGUCAUAACGGACAAGUCGGUAAACUAGCAAAGUUUUAUUCACUCUUGCAGUUGCCUACCCUUGAAUUGCUAUUGUCAUCUGUAAAAUAAAUAACAAAAACAGCGAGUAAAGAUUCACUGACUUU